rnacentral:rRNA from 1 species
UCCUACGGGAGGCAGCAGUCAGGAAUAUUGCGCAAUGGAGGAAACUCUGACGCAGCGACGCCGCGUGGGGGAUGAAGGCCUUCGGGUUGUAAACCCCUUUCGACUGGGACGAAUGUCCGCCUUUGGCGGAAGUGACGGUACCAGUAGAAGAAGCCCCGGCUAACUACGUGCCAGCAGCCGCGGUA